rnacentral:misc_RNA from 1 species
UAUGUUACCUGCCAGUGACAUUUGGCACUACUUCAGGUAUCUCCCACAGACACAAACCUGUGUCAGGCUGCAUGUUACCUGGCAGUGGCACCUGGCACUACUUCAGGUAUCUCCCACAGACACAAACCUGUGUCAGACUGCAUGUUACCUGGCAGUGACACAUGACACUACUUCAGGUAUCUCCCACAAACACAAACCUGUGUCAGGCUGUAUGUUACGUGGCAGUGACACAUGGCACUACUUCAGAUAUCUCCCACAGACACAAACCUGUGUCAGGCUGUAUGUUACGUGGCAGUGACACCUGGCACUACUUCAGAUAUCUCCCACAGAC